rnacentral:lncRNA from 10 species
AUUGCACGGGAGAUGUAUCCUUUCUCUUGUUGAUACACAUUUGGAUUGUUUCCAGUUUGGGGGUAUUUUAAAGCUGCUAGGAAAUUCUUGUUCUCAUUUCUAAUUUUUAGCAAGUAAUAUUAACUUGAAUUUGUUUCAUCAGACCUUUAAAAUGCAGGUUUGAACAUUUAGGAAUAUUGUACAGGGAAUGGAUCCACGAGACAUCUGCUUGUUUUUGAUGCAGUGUGAAGAAUGCAUGAUCAUUGCAUUCACAUUGAGUUGAGCUGGAUGGUUGUAAAGAUAUGCUUGGCCACUACUGAAUUACCUAAAAAUUAAUUCGUACCAGGCAGGAGCAACUGUGGCAUUGCCAAGUCUCAUUCCCAGCCCUCAUGUCCUAGAAGAUGAAUGGGAUGGAGCCAGAAGUGAUGUGUAACAUGGGAUGGAAGCAGAAGAUAGAUUCCACUGCUAAAAACUGCAUGGAUUAUGGGAAGUUGGGGAUGAGAGAGGGGAAGGAGUAGCAUCUUGUUCCGUCGGCCUCCUUGAUCUAAGCCUUUGUUGUGAAUUCGUUUUUAC